rnacentral:lncRNA from 1 species
AAAUUAGGUCCCCAAAACACAGAUCUAAAGGAGUGUGGAGAGCUGCAAUAACAUUUACCAUCAUAAGAUGGUGCCGACUUCCACAGUGCCUUAUGCCACCUAAACAAAGAUCAAGCUGUGUGCGCAUGUGCAAGGAGUAAAAGCGCACCAAGUCACUAGCCCACCCCCAGGGCGUGUAUAUGAGAUCAUGGGUAAGCAACCAUUCAGGCGAGGACACGCCACACCAGGGGGUAUAUAAGCAGCCCCUUUUCUGAGGCUCUUGGUCUUCCUCAUCAAUAUGUAAUAAAGAUUGGCUGCAGAAGGAUCCUUAUGUCCCGUGUGCGUUCCUGUGGGCGAGAACAAUAGCAUGGGACAUAUGGCGCCGAGAACCCGGGAAAAAUACCACACCAUCACCCAGUGCCGAGGAGGCCCUCCGCUCCGUGGAGAGGAUCCAGAACUGUAGCAUGAAAGGGUGAAGAAAAUCCACUUUGGGUCUCAAUGCGACUGAUAAGGACCGUGAAAGAGUAAGAUGAACCCCCAAGAUGAUCCUCUUACUCCUGAUGAUUGAGACCGGGAUAAGUAUACCCUUGUGGGCCA